GUAAUUACAACAUUUUUGUGGUCGGCGAUGGGGAGGUGGGGAGACAGAAGCAGUCAAGAGGCCGAAAGUCCAUGUGCGUGGAAGGAAGAGCUGCUCCUGAUCUAACGCAGCAACUGCAUCGGGUGUGAUCGCCGCGGGUUUUGAGGGCCUUAAUUAUUCCCCCCUCCCCUCACGAUCCUUGUCAUGACCAUGCAGUUUUUCUCGGGUGCUCUCCGAAAAGUGUUGGAUCGCAGGACCAUCGUCCUCGGCCAACAUGGCUGGCUGGAGAACUAAAAGGUCAUAAAUGCAAGGAGUAGUUUUUCAUCAUGAUUCUUACUGCGAAUGGCCACUAAAAGAGGCACUCUCUAAAAAAAGGAGCGUUCUAUGACAAAAAAAAAAAAACGGGGGGGGGGAAGAGAAGUGAGAAAAGAGAGGAUGGGGAAGAGGAAAAAUGCUAUUUCACAGUAGGAAAAAAUUGGAGAAGACUUGAUGAGGUACCAGUUGAAGGAAAGAAUUGCGAAAGAGAGCAGAAUUAAAAUUGGAGCAGUGCUUAAAAAAACAGGACAAUUACAGAGCCAUAAAUUGCAACAGUCAGUAGCUUAUCAACUUCCAGGAGUCCCAGGGUGAGUGAUUUCACACACCCCCACCCCAUCAUUUGGUCUUCCAAAAACAGGUCUGAAGAGACCAAGCUGGUAUUCAGACUUCAAACAGAAAAU